rnacentral:lncRNA from 7 species
GGGCCUUGCUGUGUGCGAAUGUGGUGAUUGUGCCGCCGCCACCAUUGUUGCCCCAAACGUUCGGAAUCACGCAGGAAGGAGAAGAGCACGAGGGAGGGCUUACGCUGCACCUAGCCGCGCUCCGUCGUCAGCCGACCUGUUUCCAUCGAAGGUAAGAACAACCACCCUUCCCUUGGCAUCUGGUAUCUUGCGCUCGCAGGAACGGGGCGCAGAACCCCCGGGGCACCACCGCUCUCGGCGUGGGUUGGGGAAGAAGUCCCCCUGGUCGUCGAUCCACGGGCGACGGAUGAGUUUAGAGUGCGGGAUUGCAUUUCCCUGGUGAUGGCUCCGUCGUGGUCAACCACGUGCCGCGAUAGCUAAAGGUAGGAGAAGUGACCAGAGCCAUAGGGUGGUUGAUGUGCGGCUGAGAUUAAAUGGUGUGUAACGUUUUGUUGCAUUGAAUCGUGACCGUGGAAUGUCAAUCAAGGGGACCCGGUUGGAUCAGGGCAUAGUCAACUUGAGACCAUCGGAUCCUAAUCCAACCUCCGCUAAUGCGUACCGGUUCGGAUAAAAGAGAUCUAAUCCGGUCCCUAGAUUCAGAAUCGGACGGCUCAACUUUAAACAUAUUCCUUCACCCGACCCUUUCUCAAAUAAGCCCCUGCACUCUUAUACAAUCAACCCGCGGUCCACCAGCAGGUCUGGCUGUGUCUAGGGAGUUUUGUAGAUCUGACCUUGCGCUCUCUGGUAUUUGGCGCCCAGUCCAGUGAGUUGGAAAAAUUAGAAAAUAAAUAUAGAAAUGAAUUUUUAAUGUAUAAAUAAAUGGUAGAAUUGGUUUAACUUAUAGAAAAU